GCUGGGUGUGGUGGUGCUCGCCUGUAAUCCUAGUGGCUCUGGAGGCUGAGGCAGGAGGAUCUGAAGUGAAAGCCAGCCUAGCAAAAGUGAGGUGCUAAGCAACUCAGUGAGACCCUGUCUCUA
rnacentral:sRNA from 1 species